rnacentral:rRNA from 1 species
CCUACAGGCGGCAGCAGUGGGGAAUAUUGCACAAUGGGGGAAACCCUGAUGCAGCAACGCCGCGUGAGCGAUGAAGGCCUUCGGGUCGUAAAGCUCUGUCCUAAGGGAAGAAUACUGACGGUACCUUAGGAGGAAACCCCGGCUAACUACGGGCCAGCAGCCGCGGUAAUACGUAGGGGGCUAGCGUUAUCCGGAAUUACUGGGCUUAAAGGGUGCGGAGGCGGCCAGUCAAGUCAGAUGUGAAAGGCUACGGCUCAACCGUAGUAAACCAUUGAAAGGGUAGGGCUUGGGUGCAGGAGAGGAGAGUGGAAUUCCUAGAGUAUCACUAAAUUGCUUAGAUAUUGGGAGGGUCUCCAGUUGCGAAGGAGGCUCUCUCGACUGUAACUGACGCUGCGGCACGAUAGCGUGGGGGGCGAAUAGGAUUAGAUACCCUGGUAGGC